CCUUCGAUAGCUCAGUUGGUAGAGCGGAGGACUGUAGAUCCUUAGGUCGCUGGUUCGAAUCCGGCUCGAAGGA